UUAGAAAGUUGUGAACAUUUCGUGACCUUAUUCCUUUCCUCCGAAUUAAAGUCGUUCACUGAAACAAAACAGUAUCUCCUUUGAACCAAAACGUCAGUUUUCCACGAACACCAAAGAUAAAGAUACUUUCAUAAAAAGAUGAACAUAAUAUUUCCUCUGAAUUUUCACUACAGGUAAAACUCCUCCUGGAAAACAUAUUCUUCUUUCUUCCACUCUCCACGACAAGGAACAGGAUGCGGAAGCGGCGUGACGGUGGUGUUUUCUACAUUUCAUGACGCUCUCAACCCCACACCGAGUGUUCAUAUUUACCGGAGCCACCCGAAACUUUCGCCUACCUUUCACGAAUGGGAUUGGCUUGUUUGAAGCGAGAUGAGUGUAAACCUCCGUAAAAAAUAUCCAGAAUUUUGUUCAGUUCCUCCGUGUAUAUGUGAUCAACCCCAUGCAAAGGAUUUUCCGUGUGUUUGGGUGUGUGCGGUAUUUUCAUUUUCCAACUAACAAACAAAAUGUUGAUAACGGAAGAACACGAUUGUCGGUAAACAUAUCAAAGGAGGGAAACAAUGGAGCGGUUAUUUGGUGGGAUUAGGGAUGAAAUUUUAUAUAUCGAGCAAGGACGCAAAAUAACUUUUCGCAGCGUAAAAGAAAUUGUUCGCAAAUUCUAUAUCUUUGUACGAUUUCCACUGACUUUAUGAGCUUUUAUUCUGCAAUAAAACGCUCACGGCAA